UAGGUGUGGAAGGGGGACUCCGAGUC
rnacentral:sRNA from 1 species